CAGCCGCCACGGUAAUACGAAGGGGGCUAGCGUUGCUCGGAAUCACUGGGCGUAAAGGGUGCGUAGGCGGGUCUUUAAGUCAGGGGUGAGAUCCUGGAGCUCAACUCCAGAACUGCCUUUGAUACUGAAGAUCUUGAGUUCGGGAGAGGUGAGUGGAACUGCGAGUGUAGAGGUGAAAUUCGUAGAUAUUCGCAAGAACACCAGUGGCGAAGGCGGCUCACUGGCCCGAUACUGACGCUGAGGCACGAAAGCGUGGGGAGCAAACAGGAUUAGAUACCCCCGUAGUCCCUGUCUCUUAUAA
rnacentral:rRNA from 1 species